AUGCAGUGCACAUGGGUUGUGCUCAGUGGAGCCACGUUAGAGGGUCCAGUGUCUUUUUUGUCCCAAUUUUCAAUAACAAAGCAUCACCACACUUUCUACUACGGGACCAAUGGAUCAGAAUUCAGAACACAGAUCUACAAAUUUGAAAAAACAACACAGAACUAUGCAAGUUUCAACUUGUUCUCCAGCACUUUGCCAUAA